rnacentral:rRNA from 1 species
CGGGUGAGUAACACGUAUGCAACCUGCCUGCCACAGCCGGAUAAUCGGGAGAAAUUCCGUCUAAUACGGCAUAAUGCAUCGACGGGACAUCCUGUUGGUGCCAAAGGCUAAUUCCGGUGGCGGAUGGGCAUGCGUCGCAUUAGUUAGUUGGCGGUGUAACGGACCACCAAGACGACGAUGCGUAGGGGUUCUGAGAGGAAGGUCCCCCACACUGGUACUGAGACACGGACCAGACUCCUACGGGAGGCAGCAG